GUGAGUGAGAGAGAGAGAGAAAGAGAGCAAGCUUUCUGAUUUGUUGACCGGUGGUGCGGGAGGAAGAAUCUACACAGCAGAGCUUGGUCCUUUCCUCCCUUGGGAUGGGCCUGUGUUCAGGAAAGCUGCACUCAGGGCUGACAAGUGAGCUCAGUGGACGAGGUUAAAACGGGUUGUGUUUGCUCUAGGCGUCAUCUUCAAACCCUCACAUUUAUCGAAUGGUGUGGAGGUCACCGAGCCUGGUUCACAUGUUUUGUCACUGGCUGGCUGGGACAUGAGCUGCUCCUGCAGGUCUUUCUCUCUUCGGAUUCAGAAAAUACAGCUGGUGUCAAAAACAACCUCAGAGAGACAACUUGAAAUGUGGAAGUUGGAAGCUGGUGUGGCAUAAUGGAAAGAAUCUGUAGAAAUUGGAGAUCCAACAUAAUUGAUAAUAAAAAACGUAGCAUAAUAACA
rnacentral:lncRNA from 1 species